rnacentral:lncRNA from 1 species
GUUUUCUACAAAAUCAAAUUCUCUUUAUACUCAUCUCAUUGUUUCAUGAAAGGAAUAAGUUAGCAGUUGGGUAAAACAGUAAUGUUUUGAUUCAACUUGCGCCUCUUUCAAAAUUCCAUUUUUGCAAUGUGAUAGUAUUAAGAGGUGGGACCUCUAAGAGGUAAUUAGGCCAUAAAGUCUUCCCCCUCAUGGCUAGUAUUAAGACUCUUAAAGUAAAGGUCUCCUGUGAAACACUCUUAGAGCUGUGUUUCUCAGAGGAUGGGUCACUGCAUUGAGCUUGCCAGAUCUGCCCUGAUGGAGCAUGAGUCUGGAAAGCUGACUAUUACCUCCCUGCAGCUAGCUGAUUAGUGUAUUCAGCUUGUUCAUUGUGACCUAGAUUUCCUCACAGGAAAGUUUCAAGAUGUUGUUUCCACAUGAGACAGUGAGAUGCCCCUACUGCAGCACUGGACCUCAGGCUUAUCCUCUAAUACAGUUCAAACUUGACCACCUGUACCUUGAGAGAUUUCAUUGAAUGGUCUGAUAUCCAGUCCAAAUUUUAUUCAUUUUCUUUGUUUCCCUCAUAAACAUUAACCUAACCAGAAGUAAUUAAUAACUAAUUUGUUCCAGCACACAGCUUCAUUAGUUUAUAUAUUAUUUUAAUAGAGGGCUUUGACAUUUAACUUUACAACAAAAAUGACUGUAGUGUAGCCUGGAUUCAAAGCCCUUCCAUAAAUUUCCCAUAGCAAAUAUCUAAUACUCAUCUCUCUCUUUGCUGCCUUGCCAAAUGCAUGAUCUCACCAAACUAAGCAUCACCAUUUUGUACAUCGACAUUAUGUUUUUCACAUUCCAACACUAUGAGUCUGGAAUGCCAUCUCUCUACUCAUUUUCUUUUUUCAAGUUCUAUUUUGAAACAUUUAUUAGUUAUCCUGAUAAGAAAACAUCUAGGAUUAGCAAUUUUAAAACUAAUAGUCUGUUAGUUAACUUUCUGACACUAUAACAAAAAACUGAAAUAAUUAACUUAAAGAUAAAAGUUUAUUUGGGCUCAUAGUUUUGGAGAUUUCCGUUCCUUUGGGCCUGUAGUGAGGAAGCAUAUCAUGGCAGAAACACAUGGUAGAGAAAAUCCUCUCCUUUCAUAUCCUGAAGAGAAUGAGACUUGGGGUCUCACUAUUUCCUUUAAGGGAAUUCCUUCAAUGACUAAAAGACCUCCUACUAGGUCCCAUCUCUUAAAGUUUUCAUUAACUCUUCAUAGUGCCAUAACUCAGGUGUCAAGCACAUGGAACUUUGGGGAAUACUUAUCCAAAUCAUGGUGCAUAAUAAUAACAAGAAAAACAAUUGUUAUACCUAAAAUAUAUUAAAUUCUUAGCAAAACCCAAAUACUAGGCUAAGCAAUGUGGUGUGUAUGUGUGUGUGUAUGUACUCACCAAUCUGUACUUUCAAAGAAAAAUAUUAUGUGAUACUUGUUGAUGCAUGCUAAAGGAGACUUUAUUCAAGACCAUCACAAUAGAUAUAGGAACCAGUGCAUUAAGGUCUUGCAGUGAGGAAAAGGGAGGCAAGAGAUUGUGCUCAAGACUAAAUACAAGAUGGGCAAGUGAAAAUUCAUAUCCAAGGACCAGGUGGGAAGAUUCAGUGAAUGGGAAAUUACUAAGCAGAUACAUCAAGGGUAAGGGGAAUUCCAGCCAAAUAUAGUUAAUAUGAUUCUUGAUAAAGACAGCCCAGCAUGAAGAGGCAUUGCCUAGAGGAUAGAGGAUGAGGAAAUGAUCUCAGAUUUAGAGUGACUGAGGGUGGGAUGUUCUUGCUAGGUUGACUUAACAGAGAUUGCUAAAACUUAGUUUUGCAAGAAACUACAGAUGGGCCUAGGAGAAGUUGAGAAGGCUGAUUAAAUUUUGGCCAAGGAAAGAAUCUUUGUUAACACAUACACACACACACACACAAACACACACAAACACACACAAGUGUGUGUAUAUGCAAAAAUGUAUAAUAACAUUUGAUAUUUACAUCUAGAAGAUAAUUUUAUAUUUCUAUUUUGGAAAAUAUGAACUUAGAUAAUGACAUUAAAAUUGAAUAUUUUUUCUGUAGAUCAGCACAGAUUGUGUGUAAGAAGUUUCUAAUACUAAAUAAUUAGAUUUUACUUUAUAUGCCAACAAAAAUGAGGUUUGAAUGCAUUUAUCUACCAGACAGAUAUUUGUCAUGAUGUGAAAAGUCCUAUUUGAGGAUUUUGAAAUGACUAGUGAUUUGCAUAUGGACAGAAGAGGUAAAAAAUAACUUUAGAAUAUCACUGGGAAUAGCAAAGGAAGAUGUAAGAAAACAUUUUGCAUUGAUGUGUAAAAUACCUAACGAUCUCUAUUAAUUUGUGAAAGAGAUUAGACAGGCAGAGAGAAUCUUGUGUACUGCACUAAAGGGAGAGAGAACGGGGAAUGCAGUUCACUGACUGCUCUCACUACAGACUAGCAGACCAAGAGAACCAAACAUGACCAGGCAUAACCAUUAAAACAUGUUCUAAGAAAAGA